CAGUCGCCGCGGUAAAACGGAGGGUGCAAGCGUUAAUCGGAAUUACUGGGCGUAAAGCGCACGCAGGCGGUCUGUCAAGUCGGAUGUGAAAUCCCCGGGCUCAACCUGGGAACUGCAUUCGAAACUGGCAGGCUAGAGUCUUGUAGAGGGGGGUAGAAUUCCAGGUGUAGCGGUGAAAUGCGUAGAGAUCUGGAGGAAUACCGGUGGCGAAGGCGGCCCCCUGGACAAAGACUGACGCUCAGGUGCGAAAGCGUGGGGAGCAAACAGGAUUAGAUACCCGGUAGUCCCUGUCUCUUAUCAC
rnacentral:rRNA from 1 species